rnacentral:rRNA from 1 species
UUCCGGUUGAUCCUGCCGGACCCGACUGCUAUCAGAGUGGGACUAAGCCAUGCGAGUCAACAUAGCAAUAUGUGGCAUACGGCUCAGUAACACGUAGUCAGCAUGCCCAGGGGGCGUGGAUAACCUCGGGAAACUGAGGAUAAACCGCGAUAAGUGAGGAUUUCUGGAAUGGUUCCUGACUAAAAUCUAUAUGGCCUCUGGAUUGGACUGCGGCCGAUCAGGCUGUUGGUGAGGUAAUGGCCCACCAAACCUGUAACCGGUACGGGCUCUGAGAGGAGGAGCCCGGAGAUGGGCACUGAGACAAGGGCCCAGGCCCUAUGGGGCGCAGCAGGCGCGAAACCUCUGCAAUAGGCGAAAGCCUGACAGGGUUACUCUGGGUGAUUUCCGUUAAGGAGAUCUUUUGGCACCUCUAAAAAUGGUGCAGAAUAAGGGGUGGGCAAGUCUGGUGUCAGCCGCCGCGGUAAUACCAGCACCCCGAGUGGUCGGGACGUUUAUUGGGCCUAAAGCAUCCGUAGCCGGUUCUGCAAGUCUUCCGUUAAAUCCACCUGCUUAACAGAUGGGCCGCGGAAGAUACUAUAGAGCUAGGAGGCGGGAGAGGCAAGCGGUACUCGAUGGGUAGGGGUAAAAUCCUUUGAUCCAUUGAAGACCACCAGUGGCGAAGGCGGCUUGCCAGAACGCGCUCGACGGUGAGGGAUGAAAGCUGGGGGAGCAAACCGGAUUAGAUACCCGGGUAGUCCCAG